GACUUAACAAAGUUUGCAACACAGCUGAAAAAAAAAACCCUCAUUAUAACACAAUUCAGCUGCUCACAGCAGAUGUUGGAUCCGCCCACAGCUUUAAGGGGAGGCAGGGCUAGAAGCGAGCGCAAUGUUGGCUGCAGACAAUUAAUGUGGAGAGCAGUAGCCUAGAGCUAAGCCUUUGUGUUGAGACAAAUGGAGCAAGGGGUGGUAUACUGCACCCUGUGUUAUCCACCCUACGAUCCCUGCAUCUGGGCGUACAGGCAACUGCACAUUGUCUGCAUUUAUGGCUAUGAAGAGGGAGGAUGACGUGACAAAAAGCUCGUGAACGCUUUCUGCAGGCUGGAUGGGAAGUGCAGCUGAGGAUUUUGCGCAAGCAUCAGCAGUGCAGAGCCGUCUGUCUCUCUUUUGGAGACAAAAGUGUCUUUGCCUCGGAUGCACAUACCUUCUGUCUGGUGCUAAGAGGGAGAGAAAGCUCAGCCUGACGUCCAUCCUGCAAACUCGUGAACACGGUCAGUCAGCGGUGAAGGUCUUAUUCUGCCUGGAGAAGAGAAGGCUCUGGAGAGACCUCAUUGUGGCCUUUCAGUACUUGAAGGGAAUUAUAAGCAGAAGGGGGACCUGUUCCAGUGCCUCAUCACCCUACACCAGAUUUGGUGUACACAAGUCUGAUUGCCCAGAGAGCUGCGGGUGCCCCAUCCCUGGAGGUGCCCAAGGCCAGUCUGCAUGGGGCCCUGGGCAGCCUGAGCUGCUGGGGGGCAACCAGCCCAGAGCAGGGGUUGGGGCUGGAUGGGCUUUAAGGUCCCUUCCAAUCCAAGUCAUUCUGUGAUUCUACGAUUCUAUGCAUAGAGUAACUAAUGGUUUCUAGACAUCUGCAAAGGUAUUUUGGAUCCCAGAAGUUUUCUGAGAUAACGUUGCUAGGAAUAUUUCAUGCCUCUUCCUUAGAGCUGUUCUUUGCUCCUCCUACAGUGUCAGUCAAAAAAGUACAUCUUGCUAGAUGACUCAAAGUCCUGAGCCCCCAACACGUUCACUAGUGCUCAUUAACAUGCCCCUGAAAAUGGGAAAAAUUAAGCAGCAAAAGACCUUUGUAGGUGUUGUCCUCAGGACUGCCCACUUUCAUUCUCUUCUGAAGGUUUCCCAGCACUGUGCUCAGCUCAUUAAGUAGAGAGCUUGAGAUCUAUCUAUCUUUCCCCUUGUGAGACUGAGUGCUCAGACACAAACAAGGUCUUUUUGUACUGAAUCAAUAAAUCAGCAUCUUAAAUCGUGAACCAAUAAAUCAGUAUCCUAAAGGAUUUCUGAGCUGACUAUCUGUCUGUAAUAUUUACCUGAGGGCCUGAUGUAGACUUUGUCCAUGCUGGUGCAAGGCCCAUGAAGCCUGGCCAGGGAACCAGCUCCAUCACAUCAGCAACAUUUGCUCUCCCUAAGAGAUGCUCAGAUAAAUCAUAGAACCAUAGAAUGUCUUGAGGUGAAAGGGACCCUUAAAGGUCAUCUAGUCCAGCUCCUCUGCAAUGAACAGGGAUACCUAUAGGUUGAUCAGAUACUCAGAGCCCCGUCCAGCCUGACCUUGAGUGUCUCCAGGGAUGGGGCAUCCACCACCUCUCUGGGCAAUCUGUGCCAAUGCCUCACCAUCCCUAUUUAGACAACUUCUUCCUUAUAUCCAAUCUAAAUCUUUUCUCUUUUUAGAUUGAAACUAUUUCCCCUUUUUUUUUCCUAUGACAACAGAUUCUGCUAAAGCAUCUGUUCCCCUUGGGCA
rnacentral:lncRNA from 1 species